rnacentral:rRNA from 1 species
GGAAAAGAAACUAACAAGGAUUCCCCCAGUAACGGCGAGUGAAGCGGGAAGAGCUCAAGCUUAAAAUCUCCAUACUUGUAUGGCGAAUUGUAGUCUAUUGAGGCUGUUGUCAGCAUCGCGAUUGGGGACAAGUCCCUUGGAAAAGGGCAGCAUAGAGGGUGAUACUCCCGUCUCUGCUCCAAUCUGCGGUGUGUACGAUACGCUUUCUUUGAGUCGAGUUGUUUGGGAAUACAGCUCAAAGUAGGUGGUAAAUUCCAUCUAAAGCUAAAUAUUGGUGCGAGACCGAUAGCGAACAAGUACCGUGAGGGAAAGAUGAAAAGAACUUUGAAAAGAGAGUUAAAGAGUACCUGAAACUGUUGAAAGGGAACCGUAUCGUUUCCAGUGUUGUAUCCUAUGCAUAUUUCAUUCGCGGAGUAAUUUGCGGGUGCCCUGUGCAUGGGUGUGACGUCAGGGUCAGUUUGUAUGCUGCGGGAGAUGGUCAGUGAGGAGGUGCGUCACUUCGGUGAAAGUUAUAUCUCGCUGUCUAGUAGCCGUGGUUGAGACUGAGGUGCCUACAACAAGCCUUAAGGUUCCGUGUUGUCUCGUGUUGGUGACUGCUCUGAUAGCUUGCUAUGUUUGUGGUUUAUUAGUGCGAUUGAUGAUGUGGAUAACUUUUGCUGUUCGGGACUCUGGCGAAAUGGAGCGAUACGA